UACGUAGGGGGCUAGCGUUGUCCGGCAUCAUUGGGCGUAAAGCGCGUGUAGGCGGUCCGGUAAGUCCGCUGUGAAAGUCGGGGGCUCAACCCUCGGAUGCCGGUGGAUACUGUCGGGCUUGAGUACGGAAGAGGCGAGUGGAAUUCCUGGUGUAGCGGUGAAAUGCGCAGAUAUCAGGAGGAACACCCAUUGCGAAGGCAGCUCGCUGGGACGUUACUGACGCUGAGACGCGAAAGCGUGGGGAGCAAACAGG
rnacentral:rRNA from 1 species